GACUUGUGCGCGCCCGCGUGUCUGCGGUCACUGCCCAAAAGGGCGGUGCGACGUGCGGUGCGGGCGGCGUCAAACCUUCAACUGGCUGGCGCCUGGGCUUUGUUGUCCGGACGCGCAGCUGGUUGAUCAUUUACUGUGAGAAAAUUAGAGUGUUCAAGGCAGGCAGCGUUUGCAAUUGAAUAUGUUAGCAUGGAAUAAUAAGAUAAGGCUUUCGGUCGAUAUUUUGUUGGUAGUUCACAAUCGAAAGUAAUGAUUGAUAGGGAUAGUUGGGGGUGCUAGUAUUCAACGGCCAGAGGUGAAAUUCAUGGAUUCGUUGAAGACUAACUUGUGCGAAAGCAUU
rnacentral:rRNA from 1 species